rnacentral:rRNA from 1 species
GACGAACGCUGGCGGCGUGCUUAACACAUGCAAGUCGAACGGAAAGGCCCUGCUUUUUUGGGGUGCUCGAGUGGCGAACGGGUGAGUAACACGUGAGUAACCUGCCCUUGACUUUGGGAUAACUUCAGGAAACUGGGGCUAAUACCGGAUAGGAGCUCCUGCUGCAUGGUGGGGGUUGGAAAGUUUCGGCGGUUGGGGAUGGACUCGCGGCUUAUCAGGUUGUUGUUGGGGAAGUGUCGUACCAAGGCUUGGACGGGUAGCCGGCCUGGGAGGGUGACCGGCCCCAUGGGACUUAGGGAGGGGCCAGUGUGCAACGGGGGGCAAGGGGGGGAAAUCUUAGCCAGCCGGGCGGAGUCUGGGACGACGACCGCCGGGUUGGAAAGGCCGGCUUUCGGGUACGAAACGCCUUCGGCUAGUACCGAGCGGUAAUGACGGUAACGGAAGAAUAAGCACCGGCUAACUACGUG